CCUACGGGAGGCAGCAGUGGGGGAUAUUGCACAAUGGGGGAAACCCUGAUGCAGCGACGCCGCGUGGGUGAAGAAGGGUCUAGGCGCGUAAAGCCCUGUCAGCAGGGAAGAAAAUGACGGUACCUGAAGAAGAAGGCGCGGCUAACUCCGUGCCAGCAGCCGCGGUAAUACGUAGGGGGCAAGCGUUAUCCGGAUUUACUGGUUUUAAGGGGGGCGGAGACGGCGCUGCAAGCCAGGGGUGAAAGCCCGGGGCUCAACCCCGCGACUGCUCUUGGAACUGCGUGGCUAGAGUGCAGGUGGGGCAGGCGGAAUUCCUGGUGUAGCGGUGAAAUGCUUAGAUAUCA
rnacentral:rRNA from 1 species